GACGAACGCUGGCGGCGUGCCUAAUACAUGCAAGUAGAACGCACAGUUUAUACCGUAGCUUGCUACACCAUAGACUGUGAGUUGCGAACGGGUGAGUAACGCGUAGGUAACCUGCCUGGUAGCGGGGGAUAACUAUUGGAAACGAUAGCUAAUACCGCAUAAUAUUAAUUAUUGCAUGAUAAUUAAUUGAAAGGUGCAAUUGCACCACUACCAGAUGGACCUGCGUUGUAUUAGCUAGUAGGUGAGGUAACGGCUCACCUAGGCGACGAUACAUAGCCGACCUGAGAGGGUGAUCGGCCACACUGGGACUGAGACACGGCCCAGACGCCUACGGGAGGCAGCAGUAGGGAAUCUUCGGCAAUGGACGAAAGUCUGACCGAGCAACGCCGCGGGAGUGAAGAAGGUUGUCGGAUCGUAAAGCUCUGUUGUAAGAGAAGAACGGGUGUGAGAGUGGAAAGUUCACACUGUGACGGUAUCUUACCAGAAAGGGACGGCUAACUACGUG
rnacentral:rRNA from 1 species